UAAAAACAUAGGACUCUGCGAACUCGUAAGAGGACGUAUAGGGUCUGACGCCUGCCCGGUGCCGGAAGGUUAAGAGGAGAGGUUAGCUGUUGC
rnacentral:rRNA from 1 species